GCCGCCAGCACGUCCCUGUGACGAGCCCCUCGCCCCGCGUCCCGGGGCCGCCGCAGGGCCGAAGGGUGGCGCCGGCUGGAGCAGAGCCCUUGAGCUCGCGAAGCUCAGGCCUUUGGGGCUGUUUCCUGCAGUAGAUUCCGUGUCUCCUGGAAAGCACAGGGUCGGGUCGGAACCGAAGCGGAGAACGGUUCGCGCCAGGCCCCAAAGGAAUCCCGGUGCGUAAAGUUCCUGCAACCGCUUCAGACGCCUUGACGCUCCUUGAACCCAUUUGUCAAACUUGCCAAAACUCAGAGAAAUUCGUUUGUGCCUCAACGAUGCGAAUGUAAUGGAUGUACCUCCUGCUUUCAAGAAAUGGCUUUCUUCCUUCUUCCUCUAGUGCCUGCUCGGUGCAGAAUGCAGAUGCCCUCACCUCUGCGCAGUCAUGGAGACCAUGCCGGUCCUGCAGAGAGAAUGAAGCUACCAAAGAGAACACAGAUACAGGACACUCAAGUUAAACAAAACCACAGCGGCAUGGAGUCCUUCUCAUUAGAAAGUCAAACAGACAUCCAGAAAGCUGCAAAGCAAAUUGGAGAGAUGCCAGGACUUCAGUAGAAAUCACAGAUGAGGAUUUCAUACUUCAUGACUUUUCUUUAAGCAGGUACAAAAGCAGAAAGCUGAAGAACUGUCUGCGAUGAGCACUAAGAGUCCUGAAAUAGAGUGGGACUCAUAGAAGGACAAGAACAACAUAGACCACCCAGAGGAGGAUCCAGAAGGAAUACAUUUUAUUCUCAGCCACACUGCCUAGGCUUAUCAUCAGUUCUUUAGUGAGGAAGAACAAGAAACCAAUAGCAGACACACCCUAAAAUCUUUACUAUAAAGAUCUCAUGAUAGUAUGUAUUCAGUCAUUCUUUAAAAAAAAAAAAAGAGAAAAAAAUCUUUGUAAGUGCCAGACAUUGGAGACAUAAUGGUUAACAA